GUGGGGAAUAUUGGACAAUGGGCGCAAGCCUGAUCCAGCAAUGCCGCGUGCAGGAAGAAGGCCUUCGGGUUGUAAACUGCUUUUGUACGGAACGAAAAGGCCCUGGUUAAUACCUGGGGCUCAUGACGGUACCGUAAGAAUAAGCACCGGCUAACUACGUGCCAGCAGCCGCGGUAAUACGUAGGGUGCAAGCGCUAAUCGGAAUUACUGGGCGUAAAGCGUGCGCAGGCGGUGCUGUAAGACAGGCGUGAAAUCCCCGGGCUUAACCUGGGAAUUGCGCUUGUGACUGCAGUGCUGGAGUGCGGCAGAGGGGGAUGGAAUUCCGCGUGUAGCAGUGAAAUGCGUAGAUAUGCGGAGGAACACCGAUGGCGAAGGCAAUCCCCUGGGCCUGCACUGACGCUCAUGCACGAAAGCGUGGGGAGCAAACAGGAUUAGAAACCCGAGUAGUCC
rnacentral:rRNA from 1 species